rnacentral:snoRNA from 1 species
CAAUAUGAUGAUACGGCACUGGGCUCUGAAUUCAUGAAAGAGACGCCAUUUUGUGGCAGGCCUAGAAAACCUCGCCCACUGAUU